AUUUCAACAGGGAUGUGCACAGGAGUGCUACACGAGCCUUCCGGCAUGGACACGACUUGUUCGCGGCGACCAAUGGAGCCGGUUCACCACCUGAGAUACCGCCAGGGGAGCAGCAAGCAAGCCGAGACAAAAGGCGUCUGAACAGGCGUGUUCCACAUGCACUAAGGCGUGGACAGGACUCGCUCGCAGUGGACCCUGGGGCCGGUUCACCACCCGAAAUACCGGCAAAGGAGCAACAAGAGAAGCGUAGACAGGACUCUCUCGCGGUGGAGCCUGGCACCGGUUC